UCUCUCUCUCUCUCUCUCACCUAUGUACAAGAAGAAACCAUAGCACCGAAUCCUCAUUCCCAUCCCAUUUGAAUUUUCAUCAAACCCUAAUUUCCCAUCUCUCAACCGAAUCCGCUUCCUUGAUGUUGUUGAAAACGAUUCCUUGAAACAUGACCAUCUUCACCGGGUAAAAAUACACACAACAUCAUUUUGAACUAGAUCCAGCUUCUUCCAUCGUCCAGAUCCAGCUUCUCCGAAUACUGAUAUGUUUGCUAUUGCUGUGGCUCUACUACGUCUUACUCGCUUGUAUUUGAUUCAGGUUUAGAUUUAGGAUUUUCUAAGUUUUUCAGAUCUGUGAGCUGAAGGUGUAAAGAAAUCUUUUAGGGGAAGAUUUAGGUCCACUGAGUUCUAAAGAUCUUGAGCAGCUUGAAAGGAAAUUGAAUUUAUCUCUGAAGCAUGUUAGGUCAACAAAGGCUCUAUCAAGAAAGAUUGAAUGUAUUGAUGUCGAGGAUCCAAAACUUUUUGAAUGAAGUGACUUCUCCGCUUGCAAAAUCUGGCCAAAGUAAGAACACCAUAUACACCUGUUGUACAACUAAUGUUAAACAUUAAUAUAUCUAAUAAAUCAAUGAAGCAUGGUUUAGCAAUGAUGACAGUGGAUGGCGUGUAUUGGAAAUUUCAAAAUUGCAUACAUAUAUUGUUUUCUCAUAGUUCAUGUACACUAGCUAGGUAGCAGGCAUAGAAAAAUGUGUUGAAGUCUUUUGUCCUUGUAAGAAUAUAGAUUAUCAUUUGAAUAUUUUAUAUUUCAUCAAGAUUAUACUAGGAACAUCUUUCCCGCGUCCGUAAUGAUU